UACGGGGGGGGCAAGCGUUGUUCGGAAUUACUGGGCGUAAAGGGUGCGUAGGCGGCUUUCUAAGUCGGAUGUGAAAACUCUGGGCUCAACCCAGAGCCUGCAUCUGAAACUGGAGAGCUAGGGUUUUGGAGGGGAAAGCGGAAUUCCAGGUGUAGCGGUGAAAUGCGUAGAUAUCAGGAAGAACACCCGUGGCGAAGGCGGCUCUCUGGGGACGGUACUGACGCUGAGAC
rnacentral:rRNA from 1 species